rnacentral:rRNA from 1 species
GAUGAACGCUAGCUACAGGCUUAACACAUGCAAGUCGAGGGGUAACGAGAGGAAAGCUUGCUUUCCUUGUCCACGACCGGCGCACGGGUGAGUAACGCGUAUCCAACCUGCCCCCAACUAGGGAAUAACCUUGCGAAAGUAAGACUAAUACACUAUAAUUUCCUCAGAUGUCAUCUGACUAGGAAUAAAGAUUUAUCGGUUGUGGAUGGGGAUGGGUCUGAUUUGCUUGUUGCCGGGGUAACGGCCAACCAAGGCAACGAUCAGUAGGGGUUCUGAGAGGAAGGUCCCCCACAUUGGAACUUAGACACGGUCCAAACUCCUACGGGAGGCAGCAGUGAGGAAUAUUGGUCAAUGGGCGGAAGCCUGAACCAGCCAAGUAGCGUGCAGGAUGACGGCCCUAUGGGUUGUAAACUGCUUUUAUACAGGAAUAAAGUUAGCCACGUGUGGUUAUUUGUAGGUACUGUAUGAAUAAGGACCGGCUAAUUCCGUGCCAGCCGCCGCAGUAAAAC